AACGUAGGACACAAGCGUUAUCCGGAGUUACUGGGCGUAAAGGGCGCGUAGGCGGCAAUUCAAGUCAGUUGUGAAAUCUCCGAGCUUAACUCGGAACGGUCAACUGAUACUGUUUUGCUAGAGUACAGAAGGGGCAAUCGGAAUUCUUGGUGUAGCGGUGAAAUGCGUAGAUAUCAAGAGGAACACCUGAGGUGAAGACGGGUUGCUGGGCUGAUACUGACGCUGAGGCGCGAAAGCUAGGGUAGCAAACGGG
rnacentral:rRNA from 1 species